rnacentral:tRNA from 2 species
GCGCCUUUAGCUCAACUGGUAGAGCUUCCGGCUUUUAACCGGAAGGUUGCGAGUUCGAUUCUCGCAGGGCGCACCA